rnacentral:rRNA from 1 species
UAACCUGGUUGAUCCUGCCAGUUAGUCAUAUGCUUGUCUCAAAGAUUAAGCCAUGCAUGUCUAAGUAUAAACACCUUUAUACUGUGAAACUGCGUACAGCUCAUUAUAUCAGUUAUCAUUUAUUUGAUGGUACCUUACCACAUGGAUACCCGUGGUAAUUCUAGAGCUAAUACAUGCGUAAAAUCUCGACUUU